rnacentral:pre_miRNA from 1 species
AGUGGAAUAGCUGGGUCAAAUGGUGGUAUCAUUCCAAGUUUUCUAAGGAAUCUCCAUUCUGCUUUCCUGAUUAGUUGCACCAAUUUGCAGUCCCACCAGCAGU